AUUGAACGCUGGCGGCAGGCCUAACACAUGCAAGUCGAACGAGUGGCGGACGGGUGCGUAAUGUCUGGGAAACUGCCUGAUGGCGGGGGAUAACUACUGGAAACGGUAGCUAAUACCGCAUACCAUCGGAUGUGCCCAGAUGGGAUUAGCUAGUAGGUGGGGUAAAGGCUCACGUAGGCGACGAUCCCUAGCUUGUCUGAGAGGAUGACCAGCCACACUGGAACUGAGACAGGGUGCAGACUCAUACGGGAGGCAGCAGUGGGGAAUAUUGGACAAGGGGGGCAAGCCUGAUGCAGCCAGGCCGAGUGUAUGAAGAAGGCCUUCGGGUUGUAAAGUACUUUCAGCGGGGAGGCGUUACCCGCAGAAGAAGCACCGGCUAACUCCGUGCCAGCAGCCGCGGUAAUAA
rnacentral:rRNA from 1 species